rnacentral:lncRNA from 1 species
CACCUACAGCCUUAGCCAUUUUAUCUCCUUCUAUCUGCACAGGGUAAUUUAAUCGCAUAUCACAUCCUCCUAGCCUUUCCUACCUCAGGUUCCCAGCAYGGCAUUUCAAAUCCAAUUUUUAUUGCUAGCCAGAAAGCACUCUUUCAGCUACUGCCAAGUGACAAGGCACUAGAUCUCACUGGGAAGUACUUUGGCACGUCAGAGUCUUCUGACCAAGACAAGCUGAGUAACAUCUGCACGGGAGGAGGAGGCGGCGCUAUAGAAGGAAGCUUCAAAUACUGCUGAGCCGUCAACAAGGGGCACAGCUCCUGCACCCCACGCCCUUCCUCCAGCCACACAAGCUCUGUCACCAAGUUCGCCUGCUCCUCCUGACUGGGAUAUGAGGCCACACGCUCCCUGGAUGCCCUGCCUUCAGUGGGAUCCACUACUGAUGUUGUGGCAUUAAACCAACAGCCGGCAGGACCAGUGAUGCAGAGUUCCAUUCAUUAGUUCAUCACCUCCGAACCGUUCAGCCGCUGCUCUUACUCCAAGGCAUUCUCUGGACACCUUAUCUGGAAGGACACAGCAUAUUACUUCCUAACAAUAACUGUGAGCUGGAAACCAAGUUAACCCCAAGGUCCCUUCUGACUCACCUGACAAACCACCUUGGCUCCUGUGCUGUCCUGGGCCAUUUCUUCCAUCACACUCCCCCUUUGCUCCUCUGGUACCUGCUCACCUCCGAGGAACUCCCUCCAAGGCAGGAGGAUUUCACAGGCAAGGCUCUCCCUUYGGCAGGGCUGCACACAUCCCUCUACGCGGGUGCAGAUGCAGACAGAUUCCCCCAUGGCCAUCCUGCUGGGAAACACAGGGGUUAUUUGCUACCACGAUGCUAUAGCACCAAGCCAUCUCUUCAGCCUCUAUCUCACUUCCCUUCCUCCAAGCUCCCUUUUAAAGGUCUGGAAGGAGCUUGCUACCUCUUGAGUUGCUGGAGGAAAACAAGCAUAGUCCUGRCCUCCCUAAGCAGCUGGCAGGCUCCAGCUUCCCAUGGUGAGGGACAGCUCAUCAGCUUUCCUCAGUCAAUGGCAGGGGAAAGGACAUGUUCCACAGUACUGGGGACCUUGCCCUUCAAGCUCCUGUCUGCUCCCAUUCCUCCAGAAGCAGUGAGAUGCUGUUUUAUAGCCAUCUGCCAUCCUUUUCUCAUACUUGUAACUUUGCUGCCUAGCCCCUCUGCAGCCAUCUCAUCUGCCCCACAUUCAGCA